CGGCCGUAACUAUAACGGUCCUAAGGUAGCGAAAUUCCUUGUCGGUUAAAUACCGACCUGCAUGAAUGGCGUAACGAGAUGGGAGCUGUCUCAACCAGAGAUUCAGUGAAAUUGUAGUGGAGGUGAAAAUUCCUCCUACCCGCGGCAAGACGGAGAGACCCCGUGGAC
rnacentral:rRNA from 1 species